UUGUGGAGAUGCCGGAAUCCCACCUACCUUCAGAGCUUUGCCUUGUUAUGGGGUCUUUCCAUCUUAUGAGGAUGGUUGUUUUUUAUUUUCAGAGGAUCUUUUGAGGUUGUCUGUGUUGGGUCUGAGGAGAGGAAGCCAUGCUUACCUGGAAGUCCAAUUGCCUAGUCUUUACCACUCUUCUGUCUUAGAAUUGAAACUAAGACUGAAAGUCAGGAAUUUUUGAAAAGAGAUAAACCAGAGAUAAUGAUCUUUAAAAAUGUUUUUGUUUUCUAAAGAUAAUGUUUUUUUUUAACCUUCCUUUAAACCCUUACCUUCCAUCUUGGAAUCAAUGUUGUGUAUUGGUUCCAAGGCCAAAGAGUGGUAAGGGCUAGGCAAUGGGGGUCAAGUGACUUGCCCAGGGUCACACAGCUGGGAAGUGUCUGAGGCCAGAUUUGAAUCUAGGAUCUCCUGUCUCUAGGCCUGCCUCUCAAUCCACUGAGCUACCCAGCUGCCCUGAAAGAUAAUGGUUUUUAAAGCCCUUUGUAGCUGGAAAGUCUUAGAGACAUGCAAGUUAUUUUGGUAGUAUGAGUGAGUCCUUAUUAGAUGCAGAAUUACUGUGGUAGGUAGCUGGGAAGGCUCAAACAGGAUGAAGAUAUGGUGCUAAAACACAGAGGCAGACAGCUACAGGGCCCAAGAGAACCUAAGUGAGAGGUGCAAACCACAUGCUGUGUGACAUACACAUCACUUAACUCACCUGCUCAUCAGCUGUCUGUGCUAGAAUGGCAGGUUCUGGAAAAAAGGCAAGAAUGUACCAACAUGGAGAUUCUGACUCGAGAUUCCAAGCUCACUGAAUCACAGUAUCUCCGAAUUGGGUUGGUAUUUCAGAGCUAUCUGAGAGGAUUAUCCUAUACAGCAUCACUAGCAAGUGACCAGACAACCUUUGCUUGAGCCAAAGGAAGUGAGAGUUACGGCGUUUACAUGAUGUGGUCCAAAGAGCCCCAGACUUGGGAGGCUUUCCUUGGGUUUCAUUCUAGCCUUGUCACUAAUUGAGGUCAAGUCACUUCCCCCUUAGUGGGGCAGGUUCUCCCAUCUGUACUAAAUCCCAUUCUCUUCUGACUAUUUAUUUGAUGAGGACAUUUAAGGAUCCUCUGAAGGAGGAUAGACAGAAUCUUGGGUCAUGGAUUCAGACCUGGGAGGGACUUCACAGGCAGUCUUGUCCAGUUUCCUCAUUGUAUAGAUAAACUGAGAACUAAGGAGAUUAAAUGUCUUGCUUGUCACACUUUCAGAAAGUGACAGGCAAGAAUUAAACCCAACUUGCCUCACCCUAGAGUUAUUGUUCAUCUCACUAGACUAUACAAGGCUCCCGUGUCUUCAUAAUUAGCCCUCUUGGUGCUGAACAUACUAGAGGCUGGCCCUUGCUUACCUUCUGUUCAGAGCAGGUAGAUUUUUUUUUAAAUUUUCUGGUUUCCUGACUAUUCUUACCAUGAUUUCUAUUUCUCAGUUUUAUCUAUGGAUAGUUUUUUUUAACUGCAAUGAAGGGAUGAGGGUGCAUGAGUGAUUUUUAAUUAAAAACCAAUUGUUUGCUUCUGGAAAUCUAAAGCCCCAAUUAACAAGCAAACUCCAUAAAACUUCAUCACUUGAGCCUUUGAGACAGGAGGCAGCAGUAAAAGGGUGACAUGCCAAAAACAAAUUACAUGCAUUUAUCAGUAAAUGGAGCAGUCUAUGCAAAUGAACUCCAGCUUGGGAACUCAUGGAAUUGCUGGAUUGCACUGGUUAACAGUGCAAUUCAUUAGCAGAUGAGAAUAGAGUAUAGACCAGGGGUCCCCAAACUACAUUUCCUGGGCCACAUGUGGCUCCCUGAGGCCAUGUAUCCGGCCCCCACCGCACUUCCGGACGGGGCACCUCUUUCAUUGGUGGUCAGUGAGAGGAGCACUGUGUGUGGUGGCGCCACUCAGGCACAGUACUACUUCCGGUGACAUAAUCCUUUGCAUUGUGCCUUAGAAUGAGGUGCCACGCAAAGGAUUAUGAGGCUGCACAAUGGAAGACGUCAGCAUGGUAAUCGAAUUCGGGCUCAUGGCUCUGGAAUGUGCUGUAAACAUUGUAUUCACCCCUUCGAUGAAGCUGAUUUUUACUCUGUUGGUGGAGAAACACAAAAGAGAUUUUUAAAACCAGUAAACAUUUAUUAGGCACCUACUAUGUACCAGUGCACCAUGCUAAGCACUAUCAGGAGAAAUUGAUGAAGCCUCCUUCUCCACUGCACCCUGAAGAUGGACUUCCUUACAUGAACAAAGAAUCACACAGGAUGGGCAGGAAUGGAUGGACUGCCUUGUGCAUCCUUGGAGGGACAACCAAAUCAAUGAAAUCCCAGUACCAAAUGUGCUUUUGAAUAUUUCCAAAAGGCUUUUUGAUUCAACUUUUGAAGAUCUGUGCCCAAGAAUCAAAACUUAGAUUGUUCAAGCAUUAGUCUUGAAAACAACUUUCUGAAUAAAAUGUUAGUUCUUAUGUAUCUGGGUUCAAACACAGAUAAAUGAAAAGAACAUUGAAUUUUUAAUCAGAAGACCCUGGUUUAAAGCCUGACUCUUUUAUUUACUCACUGUGUGGCCUUGGGAAACAUAUUUAAGCUUUCUGUGCUUUAGUUUCCUUGCCUAUGUAAAAAAGAAGGGGAUGAAGAGGGGUUACAUUAGUCUGGAUGAGUUGUUUCCUUCCAAAUGGACAUCUUAACUGAAAUCUAAACCAACUGGAUCCCAGUUGAUCAGGAUGAAUGGCUCAUAGUGAAGUUUCUAGAAAACCAAUCUGCAUUUUCUGUGGCUCUCCCAUAUGUCCUUGCUUUCUCCAUUUACUAAUGCCAGAAAUCUGCCAGCGACUUUGGAAGCCCAGA